ACGCUCCGGUAGAAUAUGUGCAGAUUG
rnacentral:piRNA from 1 species